AGAGUUUGAUCCUGGCUCAGAUUGAACGCUGGCGGAAUGCUUUACACAUGCAAGUCGAGCGGCAGCGCGGGGCAACCUGGCGGCGAGCGGCGAACGGGUGAGUAAUACAUCGGAACGUACCCAAUCGUGGGGGAUAACUAUCCGAAAGGAUGGCUAAUACCGCAUAAGUCCUGAGGGAGAAAGCAGGGGAUCGCAAGACCUUGCGCGAAUGGAGCGGCCGAUGUCGGAUUAGCUAGUUGGUGGGGUAAAGGCCUACCAAGGCGACGAUCCGUAGCUGGUCUGAGAGGACGACCAGCCACACUGGAACUGAGACACGGUCCAGACUCCUACGGGAGGCAGCAGUGGGGAAUUUUGGACAAUGGGGGCAACCCUGAUCCAGCCAUUCCGCGUGAGUGAAGAAGGCCUUCGGGUUGUAAAGCUCUUUCGGCAGGGAAGAAACGGUUCAGGCUAAUACCCUGGACUAAUGACGGUACCUGAAGAAGAAGCACCGGCUAACUACGUGCCAGCAGCCGCGGUAAUACGUAGGGUGCGAGCGUUAAUCGGAAUUACUGGGCGUAAAGCGUGCGCAGGCGGUUUUGUAAGACAGAUGUGAAAUCCCCGGGCUUAACCUGGGAACUGCGUUUGUGACUGCAAGACUCGAGUGCGGCAGAGGGGGGUGGAAUUCCACGUAGCAGUGAAAUGCGUAGAGAUGUGGAGGAACACCGAUGGCGAAGGCAGCCCCCUGGGUCGACACUGACGCUCAUGCACGAAAGCGUGGGGAGCAAACAGGAUUAGAUACCCUAGUAGUCC
rnacentral:rRNA from 1 species